AGAGAAAAUAGAAAAUAGAAAACCUAGUCUCUGUCCGUGUGGACUCCAUGCAAGUCGUUACGAAGCGCCAUCAGCCCAGGUUUGACCAAACUUUUAUGAAAAAAGAAAUAUGGACUUUUUUCAAGUGCGGCUCUCCCACAUAGUGCUUACUUUGACACAGUGGUACGGAUAAAUGACAAGAUGAUUGCAACAAACAAAAACAAUAAUCUACAUGACUACUUGUUUGGACACUGCGCUGAAGAAGCUUAUUUCAUGCACAGCAAGUACUGAUCCAAGAAGAUAUGGGCAAGCCAGGUCCAGCAUUAUAAUUCCAAGUGAGUAAAUUCUAGUCUUAAUUAAGGUCCUGAAUUAGUGGCUGGCAUACGUGCAUCGGGAUGCACGUGAGGCGCAUGGGAUGCACAUGCGACGCACGAAAUGCACGUGUGACGGACGCAAAAGCUAGUUUUAUUCAAUAUACUUUAGACCUCGUAUUAAAAUUUGACUUUAGGCCACAAAUUCCAUUGAGCCGCCCCUGCUCUAAUGCUUCGAGGC